rnacentral:rRNA from 1 species
UACGGAGGGUGCAAACGUUGCUCGGAAUCAUUGGGCGUAAAGCGCACGUAGGCGGCCUGAUAAGUCGGGUGUGAAAGCCCUGGGCUCAACCCAGGAAGUGCACUCGAAACUGUCAGGCUUGAAUAUGGAAGAGGGUCGCGGAAUUCCCGGUGUAGAGGUGAAAUUCGUAGAUAUUCGCAAGAACACCAGUGGCGAAGGCGGCUCACUGGCCCGGUACUGACGCUGAGGCACGAAAGCGUGGGGAGCAAACAGG